UCUGCGCAGCAAGUUAUCCUACGUUAGGGAUGGGAGUGGCGCAGGAAGCUAGGACUCCAGAAUCGGUUGCUGAAACCACAAGAAACAACGAACCCUAGAGGAUGUGGGAGAACGAGGAGCCUGGACUGGAGGGAGCCUGAGAGCGAGAGCUCAGUGAAGGCCUGAAAAAGUUGUCUGGGUGCCUUCCCGAGCCAAGGCUGUCAGUGGGCGGGGACAGAGGCGGGGCACUGUGAGAGGUCCAGGCCAGUGCUCCAGGGACUGGGAGGAGCCCAGAGCCUUAAGGGUCGCCUUCUGCAAAAAAGAAAGCAGCAAGAUGAUAGUCUCCCGUUUGGGAAUUUGUGUUUGGGAAUUUGUCCUAGGUGCAAACCAGAGCUCGACCGAUACAGCGGCGGGAGGGGGUGGGAUGGGGGGAGCUGGUCGCAACCCUUCUCCUCAUAGGAAUGCUUCACUCAGCGAAAACCACAGCCAAUCCAAAUGUGGAGUUGUGGAGCCCUGUCCCAAAUGGAUACAUCUACAAAGGACUCUCAUAGCAUCCCAGCAUUAAGUCCAAAUGAAUGGGAUCAGACCAAGAAGACAGGAAGGAACAACUGGACCUGGUGCUUUCUCUUUAUUCUGUCUUCUGUGGAUGAGAGGAAACCAUAUGGACUAGCCAGCCACAGGUCCUACCUCCACCUGUUAGGACUACAGAAUGCUUAAUCAGCGUGAACCCUGACCUUUAGUUAGCCCUACAAUACCAAGGAAGCCUCAAAGCAUCAGAGGAAAGCUAAGGACUGUCCACCAAGAUGGAGUGGCUGCUGCUCUACAGAAUUUUCAGAAGACAUAAAACACAUCACAGUGGCUCAGUGUCCUCCUCUGCAAUGCAUGCCUCACCAGACAUGGAGGAUCUCACUGGGUGUCCCAGGAUGGUCUUGAACUUGCAACCAUUUCAUCUCAGCCUCCCAAGUGCUGGGAUUGCAGCUGGAUCUUCUGAAGGAUAAGCAGCCCUGCCUUUCAAUACCCAACAGAUGUGAAGUCCCACCUCCUCCGGCUCAGAAGCAAUGGAGUCAGCUCAUAACGGACCAAAGCCUCAGAAACUGCAAGCACAAUGAAUAUUUCUACCUUUAAGCUGUGCCCUUGAGUGUUUUGUUUCAGGAAUGAAAUGCUGACUAGGAUACCAUUGUUCUGAGCUUUGUGUGGAAGCAAACCUAACUCAUUACCCUGUCCUCCUCCAACCAGUUCUGAAGCAACAGCAUUCUGACCCUCAUUUUCCUCACCUGUAAAGGAGGGUGGCUUCCUUCUCUCUCAUAGUCCCACACCAAGGGAAACCGUCUAUGACACAAGCUUGGUAUAAGCCCACUCUUCUAAAAUAUUCAGUCAGACCGGGGAAGUAGCUCCUGCAGGUUGGCUGCUUGGGAUCUCUCUUCAAGCAACAUUUGCUGCAUCUCUCGCACAUGGAUUUGCUUAUUACCUGAGUAUCCCUUCUCAAGGUUAUUGCAAAUAUGUGACAUUGCUUUGACUCAAUGUAGCAUCCCAGGGUCAAAAUUUCAAAGUAAAAUCUCUCAGUAAAUGACUUGCAGUGAUAUACACGCAAGCUAUUGUGAACAUGCUUCAGUAUCUGCUCCAAAAAAUCUGUAAAAAUCUAACAGAUGUGCACACAAAAGCACACUUGCUGGGGACUCCUGGAGAUGACGCUUGUCGUUUACCCGAGUGAUAAUACAAUGAGAUAACAGAACAAGGUCCUUCCCCAGCAAUGAAUAGAAACCCAUUUACUAAGCAUCCAGGAAAUAGGCACAAAUGAUUUUCUGUUGGAGACACGACAUUCUAGGGAUAUUCACCAAGGGUCACAACAAUAUGUAUGUCAGAAAGAUCAUGAAAAGCAGCACCUAUUGUUGAAGAAACUGCAGUGACCCACAAGCUCAUCACCAUCACAAUGGGGCAGAACCUCUUCUCUCUCCCAAACUUAGGUGAGUGGUUUCAAAAUAGAUGCUAGUGUGUGUGUGUGUGUGUGUGUGUGUGUGUGUGUGUGUGUGUAUUCAUCAUUUAUGGGUAUUUAUGCAUUAUGGGUAUCUGCAUAUUCCUGUUUGUUUAUAUAUGUUUGUGCAUUUCAAGGAUAGUUUGUGUGUAUCUGUGCUUAUCAUUCAUGAGUACAUGCAUAUAUGUUUAUGCAGAAGUGAAUGUGUGUGUGUUCCUGUGGCGUGUCUUUACAUGGUGACAGCAGGGACUUGCACAGGUCUGCAUUCCAAGCAUUGAGGAUAGCUACAAAGGUCUUAGAAGAAAACCAUAGGGGCAUGGAGUUCUGUUUUCCUCUCAGAAAAUGUCUGGAGGUGUUUCAACAGAACAUGUGGGUGUCUUGGCCAAGAGCCAGAGGCACUUAACAGUUAGAUAGCUGCAUACUUUGCAAAACUUCUGGUUAUCACACCUGUCAUUUUGACAGGUGCUGGAGUAUGCAUAGGAAUUCUGUCAGCCAGGACCUAAACUUAGGAAUAUAUUUUGAUUGUUGUUUAUUAACAAUAACCCCAACCUUCCCUCUUCUUUCUCUAAGUCUCACAGGCUACCUGAGUUAAGGGGACUGGGAUACGGAGCCCAGGAGGCUAGCCCUCAGCAUUGAAGUAUACAACUGUACGCCACAGUUGUCCUCACUUGGUUGAAAUGUGUCUUCACAUUCACAAGUCCAUUGUUCCCCAAAAUAGCUAUGGAUCCCCUACACACACACACACACACACACACACACACACACACACACACACACACACACACUUUUCUCUAACGGCUUCACCCAGUCCAUUUUCAAAGUGGAAAACAGGAAAUCCUAGCUGCAGGCCACUGGAAUUCUUCCCAGACCUCAGCAUGGAUGUAAAGCUUUUAGAAUAAUUGGAGUCAAACAUAGAAGGAACAAAAAAAAAAAGUUUGGGACAAGACUCAGGAGAAAAAAGGGGGGGGGGAUUUAGAAGUUUGUUUGCAAGGUGCAAAUGCUGAAUUUAAAACAUUCUGCUAUUGAAGUUCUAGGACCCACUGAAGAAUUCUUCCUGAAUAUGUUCUAUUUAUGUGUGGACUGUGGCAGCUUUUUCACACAAAACAAUAUAUAGGAAAGUGGAGAAAGUUCCAUAUAAACUCUCCCCAGCUGGAGACAAGAAGGAUGCUGUUAUUGUCUAGAUGGAAAAAUAAUAAGUUGAGAGUUUUAACACACACUAGGGAGAGUGCCCUUAUCUCUGAGAGGUCUGGGAUGCUAUCUAUAGACAAAACAAGCCAGUGUUUGUGUUUCAGAAAGCUUUAAAUAUAGCUAGCCCUAAUUGUUGGUCUGAGACCUUUGUUUAGAUGAAACAUUUUUAUUUAUUUGGGAUUGAGGGUUCUUUACAGAAGACAUGAAAGCAGAGAUAAUGUUAUGACUCACUGAGAAAAAUGUACUUUUCUGGUGAGUCAACAUUUUGAAAUAUAAGGGAUGUGUACGGCUGGGGGCGUUCACUCUUGUAAGAUUUCAUUCCGAGGUCCCUGUUAUCACAAUGGAUCUGACACUGUCCUUUUCAUUUCUUUGGUGUGGGACUCUCUGGGGAACAAAAUCAGGAGUUUCACACACAUUGAUGAUUCAGAAUUAAACAGCCACCACAUUUGUGUUACACUUGGAUCCCAUGUGGUCAUGUGCACUGCUGGUGUAUGAAUUUAAUCCUCGAACACUGCUGAUGUGAUCUGCAUAAAGUAUGCCUCUCUUGCUUCCUCAACACAGGCAUUUCUUUUUCCCUUCAGUACUGCACAGCCUUGGUUCCUUGAAUGAUCCUGCUCAAGGCCAGCAUUCCCAGUGAGGGUAGCAUUUCAAGUGGCUCCGGAACAAGUAUAGACUAUAGGCAUACACCCAUAAUCCCUUUAUUCCAUUCUGUGGUUUGUGAAGGUUUUGUUGAUGAAGCCAUUGAGACCCACCCCCACCCUCACCCCCAGCUUCAUGUAGUAUUUCCUGUUAUAUGUAUCUAAGCCCAGAGAUAGGCUGAAAGAGGUUGGCUUCCACCUAAUUAUGGAUGAAGUUCUUAAAACACAUACGUGCGUGUGCACACAUGUUCAAUAAAUGGCUCCAUCUACCCAUAGGGGAAUGAAGUUGGAACCAGCUUUCUAAGCCUGCAUUUAAAAAAAAUGAUUAAAAGAGAUCAAAGACCUCAAUUUAAAACCUGAAAUGCUGAAUCUGCCAAUUGAAAGCAUAAAGAAUACAUUUAAAGACGCUGGCAGAGGCACAGUGAGGCGACUCAGAGGUAAAGGUGCUUGUCACCAAGCAUGAAGACCCAUGUUUGAUCCCAGGGGCUCACGUGGUGUAAGGGGAAAAAGCCACUCCAGCAAACUGUCCUCUGGCCUCCACACUUGCAACAUGCAGUAGUGAAGCCUAAUACUGUGUAUGCUAAAUGGUGUUCAGUGGGAGAUGGGGACAACAGGACAUGUGUGACGUGAAAGCUCAAAGGAGGCUAUGGGAGCAUGAAUGAGGACUGGUGGAGGAGAAGCUGGGGAAAAAUAAUUUUAAAAAACCAAGAUUUGUUUGAAGUUGCUUAGUGAAGCCUAAUACUGUAUAUGCCAAUCUAAUUAUUUAGUGAAAAGAUACUGGUAGGUCUAGAGAGAUGGUUUCAUGUUGAAGAGACCUUACUGUUCUUGCAAAGAAUCCGAGUUCAGUUCCCAGCACCCAUGCUGGGCAACCUACAACUGCCUGUGACUCCAACUCCAGGUAAACCAAUGCCACCUUCUGGCUUCCACUGGUAUUGCACCCAUAUGCACAUGCGCAGAGACACAGGGAGGGGGGGGUGCAUGUAAAACUAGAACAAAAUAAAUCUUUCAACAAAGAUGCUGGCCUUCGGAAAUGCAAAGAUUAAAGUGCCUCUAACACAGAUCACAGAGUCACAGACCAGCAUGUAUGUGCUUUUUGUUCCGUAGACACACUGACUUACUAGCCUCCACGAGAAGCCUAAUCCAUCGUUGUAACUGAAUGCCUGAAGCACAUUAAAGUUCUAUCACUCAUCAUAGGUGGUGCGCAGACAGGCAUUGCACAUAUUUAGAAGUAUGGAGUAUUCAAUAAAAGAGAGAUAUCAAAAUAAAAGAGAGAA